ACUCAUCUUAUAAAUAUAUAGAGA
rnacentral:snRNA from 1 species